AGGAGAGGUGGGUGUUUACUGUGCUCCUGAUGAAAUACUGUUUUAAAACUGUUCAAGCACUUAUAGUGCACUAAAUCUGUACUCUUACUUGUGUUUUAGUACUAAGAGUAAGUUAUCUCUGGUUGUGUGGGUAGUUCGUUUGUGUAGAGAUUUUUUUUAUAUAAGUACAGCAGAUUUAGUGGAGUUAAGGGAGAUACUGCUACCAGUUAAGCUAAUAUGGUGUGCUUUUCUUCUCACAGUUGCAUGUGUGUGUGUGAGAAGGACCAGAAUUCACUCUAUGCUGUGUUGUAUGCUACUCUCAUGCACAGGUACUGCCACAGGUUAAUUGUUUAAUUGUUUAAUUAAUUUAGCUAAUUGUUUAAUUGCAUCAGCUGUUUAUUUUUAUUGGAAUUUGUUUUGUUAUAAUGAAAUUAAUGUUCAGAAGAAAAAAAUAUACGUCAUUUAUGGGAGUCUCUCUAUAUAUAUGUGCAUGGGGUAAUGUAUUAUGGUAAUGUAUAAUAUUGUAUUUUAUUUCAUAGCUAUAGAUAUAUUCUUAAUGUUUAUUUUCAUAACAUAGUACUCUAUAUUUGUGAUACAAUAUUUUAUGAUGUCUAUUUUAUUGUGUGUUUUAUCAACUUGAUGUAGAGGAAAAAAAGUGUACUGAGUUCGCGCUAAAUACUGCUGAGGAGAGUUGCAUGUGUGUGUGUGAGAAGGACCAGAAUUCACUCUAUGCUGUGUUGUAUGCUACUCUCAUGCACAGGAAAUAGAAAGAAUAAAACUCCCGUUGUAUGGCA